UAAGAAACAUGAAGGUAGGAAAACAGGAGAAAAAGCUUGAGCUUGAAGAAAUCUUCAUUGCUAAUAAUGAAGAGGAGACUUGGGGUUAGUGGGAGAUGGUGAAGCGCUGCGAGCAGUGCUAGGAUGGUUUGGAACCAGAAGCAGGACCAUAGGCUCCGGCUCAUUACUCUCAUCGUCAAACCGAGCAGCGGUGCAUGGGUUUAAGCGGCCCAUCAAUGAAAAAAUCGAUGCAAGUGACGUUUUCUCUAUUCCUUUCUUACUAUUGAUAUAGCAAAGUUUCAGUUUUGAUAAAUUCGGUGUUCUUAUUUUUAUUGUGUUUAUGUUUUGUUGGUGAUGGGUUCUUUUCUGUAGGAGGUGGAACAGGAGAUCAAGAAAGGGAAAGAAGAGAAAGAAAGCAAGACGAAAGAGAUUGAGAAAAAGGCAGACUCCCAUGUAAAGAGCAACCAAG
rnacentral:lncRNA from 1 species